rnacentral:rRNA from 1 species
AACAAACGCUGGCGGCAUGCCUAACACAUGCAAGUCGAACGAUCCCUUCGGGGAUAGUGGCGCACGGGUGCGUAACGCGUGGGAACCUGCCCUUAGGUUCGGAAUAACUCAGAGAAAUUUGAGCUAAUACCGGAUAAUGUCUUCGGACCAAAGAUUUAUCGCCUUUGGAUGGGCCCGCGUUGGAUUAGCUAGUUGGUGGGGUAAAGGCCUACCAAGGCGACGAUCCAUAGCUGGUCUGAGAGGAUGAUCAGCCACACUGGGACUGAGACACGGCCCAGACUCCUACGGGAGGCAGCAGUGGGGAAUAUUGGACAAUGGGCGAAAGCCUGAUCCAGCAAUGCCGCGUGAGUGAUGAAGGCCUUAGGGUUGUAAAGCUCUUUUACCCGGGAUGAUAAUGACAGUACCGGGAGAAUAAGCCCCGGCUAACUCCGUG